CUCGCACUCACACACACACACACACACACACUCACACACACACACACACACACACACACACACACACACACACACACACACACCCACCCAACAACCCCCAAACAAACCAAGCCAAUUGAUAAUUAGCAUUUUAAUUCCAGAUUACUUUCUAGAACUUUUAAUUGAUUGAAUUCUUCCAGCGAGUAUUAUAGUGACGAUCUUUCUCCUUUUGUUUUAUUCUCUCCAUCCCUCCAUCUGUAGGGGGUGUGGUUCUCGCCAUCCCUCCAUCUGUAAGGGGUGUGGUUCUCUCUCCCUCCAUCUGUAGGGGGUGUGGUUCUCUCUCCCUCCAUCUCUAGGGGGUGUGGUUCUCCAUCCCUCCAUCUGUAGGGGGUGUGGUUCUCUCUCCCUCCAUCUGUAGGGGGUCUGGUUCUCUCUCCCUCCAUCUGUAGGGGGUGUGGUUCUCGCCAUCCCUCCAUCUGUAAGGGGUGUGGUUCUCUCUCCCUCCAUCUGUAGGGGGUGUGGUUCUCUCUCCCUCCAUCUCUAGGGGGUGUGGUUCUCCAUCCCUCCAUCUGUAGGGGGUGUGGUUCUCUCUCCCUCCAUCUGUAGGGGGUCUGGUUCUCUCUCCCUCCAUCUGUAGGGGGUGUGGUUCUAACAAAGACUUCCGACACCAACUGUCCGAGCUUCAUUAAAAAUGAUUGAUCACAAAAAGAAUAACGACCACGAUGUGUCCUCCUCCGUACAGACGCCGUAAUUUUAAAACCACGUGUUCGUCUCACUGCAUUUAAAACAAACCCCUCUCGCUGUGUCAUAGAUCAACUCCACAGUUCAUUACAUCCUCUCUCUCUCUCUCUCUCUCUCUCUCGUGUUUCUACGGGACUGUGACUGAAUACUAGGAACGCUAUUGUUGGUAUUCAUGAUUUAGCGCACCCGGUUAAUUGUAAAUCCCUGAGAUCACCUCCCACCUCCACAUAGACAAUCGUGAUGAUUAAAUCCCCUCCCACCUCCUCAGGUACACACACACAAACAGACACACACAAUGAUGAAAUACCAUCCCUCCUGUCAAACUAAACCAAUGAUGAAAUACCAUCCCUCCUAUCACACCAAACCAAGGGUUAAAUACCAUCCCUCCUGUUACACCAAACCAAUGAUUAAAUACCAUCCUUCCUGUCACACUAAACCAAUGAUUAAAUGCCAUCCUUCCUAUUACACCAAACCAAGGGUUAAAUACCAUCCCUCCUGUCACACUAAAACAAUGAUUAAAUACCAUCCUUCCUGUCACACUAAACCAAUGAUUAAAUACCAUCCUUCCUGUUACACCAAACCAAUGAUUAAAUACCAUCAUUCCUGUUACACCAAAUCAAUGAUUAAAUACCAUCCUUCCUGUUACACCAAAUCAAUGAUUAAAUACCAUCCCUCCUGUCACACCAAACCAAUGAUUAAAUGCCAUCCUUCCUGUCACACCAAACCAAUGAUUAAAUGACAUCCUUCCUAUCACACCCAACCAAUGAUUAAAUACCAUCCUUCCUAUCACACCAAACCAAUGAUUAAAUGCCAUCCUUCCUGUCACACCAAACCAAUGAUUAAAUACCAUCCCUCCUGUCACACCAAACCAAGGGUUAAAUAGUAUCCCUCCUGUCACACCAAACCAAUGAUGAAAUACCAUCCCGCCUAUCACACCAAACCAAGGGUUAAAUACCAUUCUUCCUGUUACACCAAACCAAGGGUUAAAUACCAUCCUUCCUGUUACACCAAACUAAGGGUUAAAUACCAUCCUUCCUGUUACACCAAACUAAGGGUAAAUACCAUCCCUCCUGUCACACCAAACCAAUGAUGAAAUACCAUCCCUCCUGUCACACCAAAUCAAUGAUUAAAUACCAUCUCUCCUGUCACACCAAACCAAUGAUUACAUGCCAUCCUUCCUAUCACACCAAACCAAUGAUUAAAUACCAUCCUUCCUAUCACACCAAACCAAUGACUAAAUACCAUCCUUCCUAUCACACCUAACCAUUAUCGGUAAUAGAGGAUGCCACGCCACCAUAGUAAAAAAAUCAAAUCAAAUGCGCAGAAUACAACAGGUAUAAACCUUACAAUGAAAUGCUUACUUACAAGCCCUUAGCCAACAAUUCUAGUUUUCAGAAAAGUAAGUGUUAAGAAAGUAUUUACUAAAAUUAACUGAACUAAAAAUAAAAAGAAGAAAUUAGAAAAAUAACCAAUAAUUAAAGAGCACCAAAAAAAAUAACAGUAGCGAAGCUUUAUACAGGGGGGUACCGGUACAGAGUCAAUGUGGAGGCUAUAUACAGGGUGUUACGGUACAGAGUCAAUGGGGAGGCUAUAUACAGGGGGUACCAGUACAGAGUCAAUGUGGAGGCUAUAUACAGGGUGUUACGGUACAGAGUCAAUGUGGAGGCUAUAUAAAGGUUGUUACGGUACAGAGUCAAUGCGGAGGCUAUAUACAGGGGGUACCAGUACAGAGUCAAUGUGGAGACUAUAUACAGGGGGUACCGGUACAGAGUCAUUGUGGAGGCUAUAUACAGGGGGUACCAGUACAGAGUCAACGUGGAGGCUAUAUACAGGGUGUUACGGUACAGAGUCAAGUGGAGGCUAUAUACAGGGUGUUACGGAACAGAGUCAAUGUGGAGGCUAUAUACAGGGGGUAACAGUACAGAGUCAAUGUGGAGGCUAUAUACAGGGUGUUACGGUACAGAGUCAAUGUGGAGGCUAUAUAAAGGGUGUUACGGUACAGAGUCAAUGCGGAGGCUAUAUACAGGGGGUACCAGUACAGAGUCAAUGUGGAGACUAUAUACAGGGGGUACCGGUACAGAGUCAAUGUGGAGGCUAUAUACAGGGGGGUACCGGUACAGAGUCAAUGUGGAAGCUAUAUACAGGGGGUACCAGUACAGAGUCAAAGUGGAGGCUAUAUACAGGGUGUUACGGUACAGAGUCAAUGUGGAGGCUAUAUACAGGGUGUUAAGGUACAGAGUCAAUGUGGAGGCUAUAUACCGGGGGUACCAGUACAGAGUCAAUGUGGAGGCUAUAUACAGGGAGGUACCGGUACAGAGUCAAUGUGGAGACUAUAUACAGGGAGGGUACAGAGUCAAUGUGGAGGCUAUAUACAGGGUGUUACGGUACAGAGUCAAUGUGGAGGCUAUAUACAGGCGGUACCAGUACAGAGUCAAUGUGGAGGCUAUAUACAGGGUGUACCAGUACAGAGUCAAUGUGGAGACUAUAUACAGGGGGUACCAGUACAGAGUCAAUGUGGAGGCUAUAUACAGGAUGUACCAGUACAGAGUCAUUGUGGAGGCUAUAUACAGGGGGUACCAGUACAGAGUCAAUGUGGAGGCUAUAUACAGGGUGUACCAGUACAAAGUCAAUGUGGAGACUAUAUACAGGGGGUACCAUUACAGAGUCAAUGUGGAGGCUAUAUACAGGGUGUACCAGUACAGAGUCAUUGUGGAGGCUAUAUACAGGGGGUACCAGCACAGAGUCAAUGUGGAGGCUAUAUACAGGGGGUACCAGUACAGAGUCAAUGUGGAGGCUAUAUACAGGGGGUACCAGUACAGAGUCAAUGUGGAGGCUAUAUACAGGGGGUACCAGUACAGAGUCAAUGUGGAGGCUAUAUACAGGGGGGUACCAGUACAGAGUCAAUGUGGAGGCUAUAUACAGGGUGUUACGGUACAGAGUCAAUGUGGAGGCUAUAUACAGGGUGUUAAGGUACAGAGUCAAUGUGGAGGCUAUAUACCGGGGGUACCAGUACAGAGUCAAUGUGGAGGCUAUAUACAGGGAGGUACCGGUACAGAGUCAAUGUGGAGACUAUAUACAGGGAGGGUACAGAGUCAAUGUGGAGGCUAUAUACAGGGUGUUACGGUACAGAGUCAAUGUGGAGGCUAUAUACAGGCGGUACCAGUACAGAGUCAAUGUGGAGGCUAUAUACAGGGUGUACCAGUACAGAGUCAAUGUGGAGACUAUAUACAGGGGGUACCAGUACAGAGUCAAUGUGGAGGCUAUAUACAGGAUGUACCAGUACAGAGUCAUUGUGGAGGCUAUAUACAGGGGGUACCAGUACAGAGUCAAUGUGGAGGCUAUAUACAGGGUGUACCAGUACAGAGUCAAUGUGGAGACUAUAUACAGGGGGUACCAUUACAGAGUCAAUGUGGAGGCUAUAUACAGGGUGUACCAGUACAGAGUCAUUGUGGAGGCUAUAUACAGGGGGUACCAGCACAGAGUCAAUGUGGAGGCUAUAUACAGGGGGUACCAGUACAGAGUCAAUGUGGAGGCUAUAUACAGGGGGUACCAGUACAGAGUCAAUGUGGAGGCUAUAUACAGGGGGGUACCAGUACAGAGUCAAUGUGGAGGCUAUAUACAGGGUGUUACGGUACAGAGUCAAUGUGGAGGCUAUAUACAGGGGGUACCGGUACAGAGCCAAUGUGGAGGCUAUAUACAGGUUGUUACGGAACAGAGUCAAUGUGGAGGCUAUAUACAGGGUGUUACGGUACAGAGUCAAUGUGGAGGCUAUAUACAGGGGCUACCGGUACAGAGUCAAUGUGCGGGGGCACAGGUUAGUCGAGGUAAUUUAGGUAAUAUGUAGGUAACGGUAAAGUGACAAUGCAAAGAUAAUAAACAGAGGGUAGCAGCAGCGUAAAAAUAGGGGGAGGUGGGUCAAUACAAAUAGUCCGGGUAGCGAUUUGAUUAACUGUUCAGGAGUCUUAUGGUUUGAGGGUAGACGCUGUUAAGAAGCCUUUUGGACCUAGACUUGGCUCUCUGGUACCGCUUGCCGUGCAGUAGCAGAGAGAACAGUCUAAUACUAGGGUGGCUGGAGUCUUUGGCAAUUGUUAGGGCAUUCCUCUGACACUGCCUGGUAUAAAGGUCCUGGAUGGCAGGAAGCUUGGCCCCAGUGAUGUACUGGGCCAUACACGCUACCCUCUGAAGUGCCUUGAUGUCGGAGGCUGAGCAGUUGCCAUACCAUUCGGGAUGCAACCAGUCAGGAUGCUCUCGAUGGUGCAGAUGUUGAACUUUUUGAGGAUCUGAGGACUUAUGCCAAAUCUUUUCAGUCUCCUGAGGGGGGAAUAGACAUUGUCAUGCCUUCUUCACAACUCUCUUUGUGUGUUUGGGACAAUGAUAGUUCAUUGGUGACGGGGACACCAAGGAACUUGAAGCUCUCAACCUGCUGCCACUUUUCCUUUUUCCUGUAGUCCUCAAUCACAU
rnacentral:lncRNA from 1 species